UACGAAGGGGGCUAGCGUUGCUCGGAAUCACUGGGCGUAAAGCGCACGUAGGCGGAUUGUUAAGUCAGGGGUGAAAUCCUGGAGCUCAACUCCAGAACUGCCUUUGAUACUGGCGAUCUUGAGUCCGGGAGAGGUGAGUGGAACUGCGAGUGUAGAGGUGAAAUUCGUAGAUAUUCGCAAGAACACCAGUGGCGAAGGCGGCUCACUGGCCCGGUACUGACGCUGAGGUGCGAAAGCGUGGGAGCAACAGGG
rnacentral:rRNA from 1 species